GACGAACGCUGACGGCGUGCUUAACACAUGCAAGUCGAAGGGAGUGGCGAACGGGUGAGUAACACGUGAGUAACCUGCCCUUUUCCUUGGGAUAAGCCUGGGAAACUUGGACAAAUACUGGAAGGUUUGGGGUGGGCUCGGGGCUUAUCCGUUUGUUGGUGGGUGAUGGCUUACCAAGGGUUUGCCGGGUAGCCGGCCUGGGAGGGGGGGCGUGCACACGGGACCUGAGAUACGGCCCAGACUCUUACGGGAGGGGGCAGUGGGGGAUAUUGCACAAUGGACGAAAGUCUGAUGCAGCGACGGCGUGUGGGGGAUGAAGGCUUGCGGGUUGUAAACUCCUGUCGCCCGCGGAAUGGUAGUGGGUAAAGAAGCGCCGGCUAACUACGUGCCAGCAGCCGCGGUAAUUC
rnacentral:rRNA from 1 species